AACAUCGCCUCUUGCUUCACAUAAGAGGUCCAGCCUGCCCAGUGAAAUUUUAACGGCCGCGGUACCCUGACCGUGCGAAGGUAGCAUAAUCACUCGUUCUCUAAAUAAGGACUUGUAUCAAUGGCAUCACGAGAGUCACACUGUCUCCUCUCUCCAAUCAGUGAACCUAAUCUCCCCGUGAAGAAGCGGGGUUACACCCAUAAGACGAGAAGACCCCAUGGAGCUUUAAACCUUAAAGCAAUUUAAAUAAAAUAUUUCCACAUAUACUUUAUUUAUGCAUGAAAGUUUUGGGUUGGGGUGACCGCGGAGCAAAAACUAACCUCCACAACGAAAAGAACUAAAUCUUUAUCUAAGAACUACUAUUCCAAGAAUCAACACACUGACGAAUACUGAUCCGAUAAUCGAUCAAUGAACCAAGUUACCCUGGGGAUAACAGCGCAAUCUACUUCGAGAGCUCAUAUCGACAAGUAGGCUUACGACCUCGAUGUUGGAUCAGGGUAUCCCAGUGGUGCAGCCGCUACUAAUGGUUCGUUUGUUCAACGAUUAAAACCC
rnacentral:rRNA from 1 species